UAUGGCCAUAUCACAUUGAGACACCAGUUCCUAUGCGAUCACCAAAGUUAAGCAAUGCCAAGCCUGGUCAGUACCUAGAUGGAUGAUUGCUUGGGAAUAACAGGUGCUAUA